rnacentral:rRNA from 1 species
UGGGGAAUAUUGCACAAUGGGCGCAAGCCUGAUGCAGCGACGCCGCGUGGGGGAUGACGGCCUUCGGGUUGUAAACCUCUUUCAGCUAUGACGAAGCUUUCGGGUGACGGUAGUAGCAGAAGAAGCACCGGCCAACUACGUGCCAGCAGCCGCGGUAAUACGUAGGGUGCGAGCGUUGUCCGGAAUUACUGGGCGUAAAGAGCUCGUAGGUGGUUUGUCGCGUUGUUCGUGAAAACUCACAGCUUAACUGUGGGCGUGCGGGCGAUACGGGCAGACUGGAGUACUGCAGGGGAGAUUGGAAUUCCUGGUGUAGCGGUGGAAUGCGCAGAUAUCAGGAGGAACACCGGUGGCGAAGGCGGGUCUCUGGGCAGUAACUGACGCUGAGGAGCGAAAGCGUGGGGAGCGAACAGGAUUAGAUACCCCCGUAGUCC